AGGGUGAUGCUUCAACUUGUGUGUCAAAUAGUCAGUGAAUUCGGGCUUUCCAUUCAUCACUUCAGCAAAAAUCGCCGAUAAAACUUCAGACAUGACAGCAAGAAUGUUGGAAUCAAACAGGACCAUUGAUGCCAUACCAGAACCAACUGCUGUACCAUUCACAAGUGCAAGUCCUUCUUUAGGCUGCAACUCGAAAAAUCCACCACUAACACCAGCCACGCGGAACGCUUCCUCAGCAUUAAGUUUCUCACCAUUUGGUCCAACAGCCUUGGAAUUAGGCCUGCCAGUGAGCAAACCAGCAAUGUAUGACAACGGGACAAGAUCACCCGAGGCAGUGAUCGUACCACGGAGGGGCAAACACGGGGUGAUGUUGCUGUU